AACCGCAGAGCUGAGGCCAGUGCAGACUCCUCUGCCUCCUACCGCCCAGGGCAAGCUUAGGAGGGUCCUAAACCUGCCUAAAUUGCCAGGGCAACUGUGAGGCAAUGCACAGAAGCUCACUCGGCCACAGGGUGACACAGUGGACCCACGCAGAGCCAAGGAAGCUGCACAGAGACAGGCUGAUGCUAUUGAAAGUUCAUAUGGAUCAGGUGAUUUUACUGUGAAAGGCUUCCUCCACAGGCUGAGCAUCCAAUGACUGGGCAAAAUUCCACUGGGCUCUUCUAGACUUUUUCCAAGGACUAUUUCUGGAAACAAACUUCAACAUUCCCAGAAAGUCACAUGAAGAGUUCACACUGAGUCUCAGAGGAACCAAUGAACAAAAUCUGGGACUGUAAAGACCAUGAAGUCCUUUGAAGAGUGACUAAGCGUAUUGUACACUGAGAUGCACAGGAGCCUGUAGAAACUAAGACAUUUGGAACAGCAGGAUGCCAUUGAGAAGAGGUUGGAAAUGUUAAAGCUGGCUCUCAAGAGAGGUAUGAAUGUCCUACCUCAAAAGUUGCUGUCAUAUGUGAGACAAGAUGGUGGUGGCAGGAACAGGAUUUCCCUUAACUGCACUUUGGAGUGGAUGACAGUUCUGACAUUGCAGAAAAUGCCUGGAUAUUUUUCCAUGUUGGAAAAGAAAGUUGGAAAGCUUAAGCAAAUUAUACGGGUCUGAGCAAGUUAUAUAAGAAGCCAUGUGACCCAAGCUCAUCCCAACAGCUGCCAAAGUGUCUGAAAGUAGAUCCUGGGUCCAUCCUUCUCCAUCCCAGCCUUGGAUCCGUUGCUACUUACUAUGUGAAACUUUUCUGAAAAUAGUAACCUAUUUUGUUUGUAAUGCAGUGGCCUCUAGUAUUCUCCUCUCUACUCCUUCAGCCCUUCUACAGAUGACCCUUUAUGUGAAUGAAGCCUCAGAUAUGUACAGCUUGUCUAAAGAAGCUGGGUUCUAGGAGCCUGCCUCGUGGGAGUUCCCUUGGACUGACACUCCCCUGGACUCCGCCCCCUCACAGCAUGAAGCAGCUAGAGCGGUCAUCGUCCCCUUUCCUGACAAUAAUUGGUGUCAAUCUCUGAAGUGGGGAAUGAAGGCAGGUUAGAUGGACAUAGGUAGACUAGGAAAGUGAGAACAGACUUCCUGACAUAAGGCUUCUUAUUCCCAGAAGACAUUGUGAGACAGGGUAUGGAAGCUGAAACUAUAGGGGAAGGGAGGACAAAGGGGCCCUAUAAAAUACCUAAGCCAGAAGCCUUUUAGAGGAAUUCUACCCUUCGCUAUCACCUAUCCUAUAGGAAUAAAGGUGUU